UCUUUUUUUCCGAUUUUUGUCUCACGUUUUGAUUUGAUUUCCCUUUUCCUUUCUACGUUGAUAGCUUCCCCUUUUGUGAAUUUUUUCAAGGAUGGAGAUCCAGAUGUCUUCUUGUGAUUCCUUUUGGUGAUCUGGCUCUCGGUGUUUCUCGUUUUAUCGGUACGAUUUUUAAUUUGAUGACGAAUUUUGAAAAUUAUCGGAAAAUUAUAUUUUUAUUUUUUUGCGGGUUCUUUGAUCUCUUAUUUACAGCGAUUUUUGAAGAUCUGUGACUCGGUAUGAAGAUCAAGGCGAUGGUUUGUGAGUUUAAUCGGUGGUUUUGGAUGGUAUUUUUUUGUGAUUUUUUCCUAAAAGAUUAAUUCUUUAUGAUGGUUUUUUAUGAUUAUCUUAUGUUUUUUUUUAUUAGUAAAGGUGAUGGAUUUCGUUUGUACCAAUCCGAUUUUUUUAUGAUUUUUCUUUGAAAACCUCAUAGAAUUAGGAAUUUCUUGAUUUCUUCUUGAAAAGGAUGGGGCGAGGAUCCGGUCUCCUCUCUAAAAGAGAUUAAUUCUUCGAGGAUGAAGAUCAAGAUGAGAGCUUGUUUUGGAUCCGGCUUAAGAUCGUCAACAAGAAGGAUUGAUUAUUCAGUCCGCAGUGAAAGUUUUGCCGCUGAAUCAUACUGGAAGCGAAGGGAUGAAGAAAAUAGAUUUAAAUUUGUUGCUUGUUUGGAUCUUUUGUGUUCUUGGUCUAUAUAGAAACCGGUUUCAUCUCCAUCGAUGUACAUGGUCAGCUGAAGGCAGUGAAAAAGGUGAUGUAUAAUUAUGUAAUAUGACCUUUGCCAUGAUGGGUGCGCUCGCAUGGCAGGUCGCCAUAUCCUUAAUAAAAGUUUCCUUUUUUGGGGUUCUUGAGGGGGAGAUCGCACGGGGAUUUGAUUUUUUUUUAAUUCCCCCGGGUUCUCCCCGUCAUCUUGUAUGCUUCCUUGUGUGUGUGUGCGUGCGCGCGCGUGGCCCUUCACCAUGAUGGCACGAUUAUUACCCACCGUGUACCACCUUUGUCUCAAAUCAGCUACAUCUCGUCAUAGUCGCAGAAAGGCAAACAUGUUAUAAGAGAAGGAUAUUUGGGAGGAAAACUUGCAUCAUAGUGGAGAGAGCUGAUUCUUGUUUGAAGAAUGCUUGGCAUGAAGAACAUGGUUUAAAUGUCCCUGAAUCACAGAGUAGGAAUUAAAGUUGGUUAAAAUCAGCGUCAAGAUUUUCAUCUUGUUCACCUUUGUGGAAUUUGCCUUCGCGUCUGGAUCGUCAACAAGAAAAAAUUGCCAGCCCACAAUGAAAACUUUGCGGCUGAAUAAUACUGGAAAGUCGCAAGGAAGGGAAGAACAGAUGUAUUUAGAUCUGUUGCUUGUUUGGGUAGUUUUCAAGCGGAUCUAUUGUGUUCUUGGUGUAUAUAGAAACCAGUUUCAUCUCCAUCCAAGAACAAGAUCAGCUGAAGGCAGUGAAAAAGCCAAGUAAGGCCAGGCAGGGGUAUGGUUCUAAUCGCUCCGGGCGGGCCAUGCAUGUGAUCUAUGUCUCAUCAUCAAUAUGGCUUGUCGCCAGUGAAAAACUUCUACCCUGCAUCUAGGCCUGUUUGUACAUUGUUCAUGAUGAAUUUUUUGUUACCACAUACAUACCUGAAUUACUCAUUCACAUUCCAGUCGCAUUACUUUAGUCCUGCCACCUAGCGCCCACAAUCAUGCUUUUGUUUAUUGCUGUCUAACACUCACGAUCAUACUUUUGUUUAUAAAGCUAUAUUUUGGCCUAAUUUGUUCUAUUUGUAUUCAUACGUAUACUCAGUCAAGAAACAAUGUUAUUUUAUUAAUAUGUUAUCUGAUGUUAGUGUCCAUUUCUUUGUACUUUUAUUUUAUUGUUUGUUGUACAUGGGGAGAGGCAAAUAUACCCAUAUUGUAUAGCAGAUUUGUAAACUUUGAAGUUAUUGUAAAUUUUCUUGAAGUUUAGAAGGGCAAGCAUGCUAUAUGAUAUUGUGGAUGAUGAAGGGAGCUGGUUCUUGUUUAGAAGAAGGCUUGGCAUGAAGGAAAUGGUGUAAUGCCCUGAAUCACACAUUAUAGGCUUUUCAAGUUGGUUAAGAUUAUUUGUCAAGUUUUGCGUCUUGUUUCACCUUUCUGGUAGUUGCCUUCACAUUUGGUAUCAAGAGUUUACCCAGCUAGGCUUUUCAAAGUGGCUGAGGAGGGGUUAAGUGACCUGGUCGUUCCUUUAUGACCAUUGAUGAAUUUUUCAAGUAUAAUCCACUUCACUUUCAAACUAUGGCUAGCUGUGCUAAGUUAAACUUGCUUAAAAAAAUUGUUUUAUUUCAGUAGUAGCAUUUUUAGGUGCCUGGUGGACUAGUUUGAUGCAUUCUAUAAAUUUCUUUUAUGCCCCAUGACAUGAUACUGAUGAUAGUAAUUUUGCUGGUCAUCAGUCAAAAGUAGUCUUACUAUGCAUUGGUUCUAAAAAGUGUAGAUGUGGUUGAGAUGAGUUCUCUAUUUUAUAAGUGUUAUACAAAACUAUAUUUCUUCGUCUCUGAUUUUUUUUUAAUUAAGUUGUGCUAAGUGCUUGUUUUUGGCAUUCAUUCUACCGAAUCUGUUUAAUGUUAUAAUAAAUGUAGUAUAUUUAAAUCUUAAUUAUCUGUUGUAGCUUGCUAUAUUGAUACUGUGUUAGGUUUUUAUUUUUAUUUUUUUGGAUAUAUUUAUGUGAAUGAGUUUUGUGUUUUUGAUCUCUUCAAAUAACCGAUUUGUUA